rnacentral:rRNA from 1 species
GACGAACCGUGCAAACGUUGUUCGGAAUCACUGGGCUUAAAGGGCGGGAGGGCGGCCAAGCAAGUCUGGGGUGAAAGCCUCCAGCUUAACUGGAGAAGUGCCGUGGAUACUGCUGGCCUCGAGGAGGAUAGGGGCAUCUGGAACGGUCGGUGGAGCGGUGAAAUGCGUUGAUAUCGACCGGAACUCCGGUGGCGAAGGCGAAUCUCUGGACAGUUACUGACACUGAGGCACGAAGGCCAGGGGAGCAAACGGG